GCUUAGAGUUUGAUCCUGGCUCAGAACGAACGCUGGCGGCAGGCCUAACACAUGCAAGUCGAGCGCUCUCUUCGGAGGGAGCGGCAGACGGGUGAGUAACGCGUGGGAACCUGCCCAGGGGUACGGAAUAACUCAGGGAAACUUGAGCUAAUACCGUAUACGUCCUGUGGGAGAAAGAUUUAUCGCCCUUGGAUGGGCCCGCGUUGGAUUAGCUUGUUGGUGGGGUAAUGGCCUACCAAGGCGACGAUCCAUAGCUGUUCUGAGAGGAAGAUCAGCCACACUGGGACUGAGACACGGCCCAGACUCCUACGGGAGGCAGCAGUGGGGAAUCUUGGACAAUGGGCGCAAGCCUGAUCCAGCCAUGCCGCGUGAGUGAUGAAGGCCCUAGGGUUGUAAAGCUCUUUCACCGGUGACGAUAAUGACGGUAGCCGGAGAAGAAGCCCCGGCUAACUUCGUGCCAGCAGCCGCGGUAAUACGAAGGGGGCUAGCGUUGUUCGGAAUUACUGGGCGUAAAGCGCACGUAGGCGGAUGAUUAAGUCAGGGGUGAAAGCCCGGAGCUCAACUCCGGAACUGCCCUUGAUACUGGUCAUCUUGAGACCGGGAGAGGAGAGUGGAAUUCCCAGUGUAGAGGUGAAAUUCGUAGAUAUUGGGAAGAACACCCGUGGCGAAGGCGGCUCUCUGGCCCGGUUCUGACGCUGAGGUGCGAAAGUGUGGGGAGCAAACAGGAUUAGAUACCCUGGUAGUCCACACCGUAAACGAUGAAUGCUAGUUGUUGGGGAUCCUAGAUCUUCAGUGACGCCGCUAACGCAUUAAGCAUUCCGCCUGGGGAGUACGGCCGCAAAGGUUAAACUCAAAGGAAUUGACGGGGG
rnacentral:rRNA from 1 species